GAACGCGAAGAACCUUACCAGGUCUUGACAUCCCUCUGACCGCUCUAGAGAUAGAGCUUUCCUUCGGGACAGAGGUGACAGGUGGUGCAUGGUUGUCGUCAGCUCGUGUCGUGAGAUGUUGGGUUAAGUCCCGCAACGAGCGCAACCCCUAUUGUUAGUUGCCAUCAUUUAGUUGGGCACUCUAGCGAGACUGCCGGUAAUAAACCGGAGGAAGGUGGGGAUGACGUCAAAUCAUCAUGCCCCUUAUGACCUGGCUACACACGUGCUACAAUGGCUGGUACAACGAGUCGCAAGCCGGUGACGGCAAGCUAAUCUCUUAAAACCAGUCUCAGUUCGGAUUGUAGGCUGCAACUCGCCUACAUGAAGUCGGAAUCGCUAGUAAUCGCGGAUCAGCACGCCGCGGUGAAUACGUUCCCGGGUCUUGUACACACC
rnacentral:rRNA from 1 species